UCCUCAUUAACUGAGGCAGUCUGCUGUGAAAUUGCAACACAGCAUAGGGGUUGCGCUCGUUACCCCACUUAAGGGUACACCUCACGGCACGAGCUGACGGCAACCAUGCAGCACCUGUUCAUGGAUCCGAUUUGACGGUCGGCGCUACUUUCGAAGCGCGUACUCCAUGUAUUUCAAGACCUGGUAAGGUUCUUCGUUUACCGUCGAAUUAAACCACAUGUUCCACCGCUUGUGCGGGUCCCCGUCUAUUCCUUUGAGUUUUAGUCUUGCGACCGUACUCCCCAGGCGGUGUGCUUAACGCGUUAGCUUUUUUUGACGGCACUGGAAGGGUCGAUACUUCCAAUACCCAGCACACAUCGUUUACAGCGUGGACUA
rnacentral:misc_RNA from 1 species